ensembl:lncRNA
CAGGUGGAGAAAUGGCUUGAUUCCUAUGAAUUAUUAAUCUUGGAGAAGAAAAGCUUGAUUCAAAGAAGAAUUUGAAAAAAAAGAAGAAGAAAACAACUGCCAGGGAGCCCAGCAAAGAAAGAAGAAAACCGAGGUCUGCCCACACCCUACGGAGGUCCCGAGUUGCGUGGAACAUGCCUAAUCAGCCCGCUGCAGACAGGCAGGUCUGUGAACGCCCUACCGAGGUCCUGAGUCGUGUGGAAGACACCGAAUCACCCUGCUGCAGACAGGCAGCCACCUAGUUCCACACUAGAAAGACGCAGAGGACACCAGACCACCAGACCACAGUACUGAGUCCUGCUGCUCCUGGCCCAGAGAAAUAGAACUUCAGAGACAGAAGGGAUCUUAGAGAAUGAAGAAACAAGGAGUCAUGCCUGUCUCAAAGGAGUGAUUUCACAAGGCAGUAAGAAAUGACCACAGGUUAUAGCUUGUGUUACUACACACUGAUGAUGCCUUUGAGGCUAUCCACUGAUGUCCUCACCCACGGC